CACACCAUAAAAGGAAAGCACGUUCCUGCCCCAUGACCAAAAAAGGAGUGGUGUUAGGCCACGCCCACACCACCCAGGCCACGCCCAUGCCAUAUAAGGAAGGCACUUCCUCAUUCAGUGACCAUAAAAGGCGUGGCCUUGCCCGGUCAAUCAUCGGGCCACACCCACACAGGAGACCCCGUGCAUGCCCCGCCCUCUCCUCCCAAAGCCCCGCCCACUUAAGCCCCGCCCCUUCCAGGCUCAGCGAAUCCCUGACCCGGGACGGGGCCAAGAUCCGCGCCCACAUCCGGCUGGUGCUGGAGGGCCUGCGGGAGCUGCAGGGGCUGCAGGGCCCCUCCCCCACCCCGGACCCCUGAGGGACCCCUGGGCUGGCCCCGCCCCCACCUGGGUGUAAAGCUGGAGGAUUUUACACCUCGGAGUAAGCUGUGUGUAAAGCUGGAGGGUUUUACACCUCGGAGUAAGCUGUGUGUAAAGCUGGGGAUUUUACACGUCGGAGUAAGCUGUGUGUAAAGCUGGAGUAAAAUUGAGUUUUUUAUACCUCGGAGUAACUUGUGUGUAAAGCUGGAGUAAAAUGGAGUUUUUUACACCUCGGAGUAACCUGUUUGUAAAGCUGGAGUGAGGGGGGUUGUUUCACACACAGCAGGGAGCUUGGAGUAACCGCGGAGUAAUUAAGGAGUAACCCAUGAGGGCGCUGAUGGCGGUGGGGGAGGGGCCUGUGAGUAACCCCGGGGUAACCCUGAGGAAACCCGGAGUAACCCUGGAGCAACUGCAGGGCACUGGCGGAGUAACCUGUGGGGAAACUCAGAGUAACCCCUGAGUAACUGCUGAGUAACCUUGAGGUACCACUGGAAUACCCUGUUCCUGGGCCUGGAGUAACCUCGGAGUAGCUCUGGAGUAACCUUGGGGCAGCCCCAUCCUGUUUUGGGCUGUGGAGUAAACAAGGAGUAACCUCAGAGCCCACUCUCCCCUCCCCCCAAAAAGGGGUGGAGCCACUUUGGGGCUGUCCCCGCCCCCUCCGAAGGGUGGGGGGCAGUGGGGGGAGGGGCUGUUGGUGGUGACGUCAUUGGGGAUCCCCAAGAAAGAACCCCUGAGCCCCCCCAUCCCAACAAGGGGCGUGUCCCCUUAAGCUCCGCCCCUUUUCCCCCUUCCCCACCACCUCUUUUCCUGCCCUUUGUGUGACGUCACUCAGUGCUUGGCCCUGCCCCUCACACGUCACUCAACGCUUUGGCCCCGCCUCUCACACGUCACUCAACGCUUUG
rnacentral:lncRNA from 1 species